UUCUGGUUGAUCCUGCCAGACCUGACUGCUAUCGGAUUGAUACUAAGCCAUGCGAGUCUUUGUAGUAAUACAAGGCAUACGGCUCAGUAACGCGUAGUCAACCUACCCUAUGGACAAGAAUAAUCUCGGGAAACUGAGCAUAAUUCUUGAUAGAUCAUAAUGCCUGGAAUGGUAUAUGGUUAAAAUGAUUCGUCGCCAUAGGAUGGGACUGCGGCCUAUCAGCUUGUUGGUGAGGUAAUGGCCCACCAAGGCGAUUACAGGUACGGGCUCUGAGAGGAGAAGCCCGGAGAUGGGUACUGAGACAAGGACCCAGGCCCUAUGGGGCGCAGCAGGCGAGAAAACUUUGCAAUGUGCGAAAGCACGACAAGGUUAGUCCGAGUGAUUUCUGCUAAAGAGAUCUUUUGCUAGUUAUAAAACCACUAGUGAAUAAGGGGUGGGCAAGUUCUGGUGUCAGCCGCCGCGGUAAAACCAGCACCUCAAGUGGUCAGGAUGAUUAUUGGGCCUAAAGCAUCCGUAGCCGGCUCUGUAAGUUUUCGGUUAAAUCUAUGCGCUCAACGUAUGGGCUGCCGAAAAUACUGUAGAGAUAGGGAGUGGGAGAGGUAGACGGUACUCGGUAGGAAGGGGUAAAAUCCUUUGAUCUAUCGAUGACCACCUGUGGCGAAGGCGGUCUACCAGAACACGUUCGACGGUGAGGGAUGAAAGCUGGGGGAGCAAACCGGAUUAGAUACCCGGGUAGUCCCAGCUGUAAACGAUGCAGACUCGAUGAUGCAUUGGCAUAUAGCCAGUGCAGUGUCGCAGGGAAGCCGUUAAGUCUGCCGCCUGGGAAGUACGUACGCAAGUAUGAAACUUAAAGGAAUUGGCGGGGGAGCACCACAAGGGGUGAAGCCUGCGGUUCAAUUGGAUUCAACGCCGGA
rnacentral:rRNA from 1 species